AGAGGGUGCAAGCKUUAAUCGGAAUUACUGGGCGUAAAGCGAGCGUAGGUGGCUUGAUAAGUCAGAUGUGAAAUCCCCGGGCUUAACCUGGGAACUGCAUCUGAAACUGUUAGGCUAGAGUAGGUGAGAGGGAAGUAGAAUUUCAGGUGUAGCGGUGAAAUGCGUAGAGAUCUGAAGGAAUACCGAUGGCGAAGGCAGCUUCCUGGCAUCAUACUGACACUGAGGCUCGAAAGCGUGGGUAGCAAACAGGAUUAGAUACCCUGGUAGUCCACGCCGUAAACGAUGUCUACUAGUCGUUGGGUCCCUUGAGGACUUAGUGACGCAGCUAACGCAAUAAGUAGCCCGCCUGGGGAGUACGGCCGCAAGGUUAAAACUCAAAUGAAUUGACGGGGGCCCGCACAAGCGGUGGAGCAUGUGGUUUAAUUCGAUGCAACGCGAAGAACCUUACCUGGUCUUGACAUAUCUAGAAUCCUGCAGAGAUGCGGGAGUGCCUUCGGGAAUUAGAAUACAGGUGCUGCAUGGCUGUCGUCAGCUCGUGUCGUGAGAUGUUGGGUUAAGUCCCGCAACGAGCGCAACCCUUGUCCUUAGUUACCAGCGGGUUAAGCCGGGAACUCUAAGGAUACUGCCAGUGACAAACUGGAGGAAGGCGGGGACGACGUCAAGUCAUCAUGGCCCUUACGACCAGGGCUACACACGUGCUACAAUGGUAGGUACAGAGGGCAGCUACACAGCGAUGUGAUGCGAAUCUCAAAAAGCCUAUCGUAGUCCAGAUUGGAGUCUGCAACUCGACUCCAUGAAGUAGGAAUCGCUAGUAAUCGCGGAUCAGAAUGCCGCGGUGAAUACGUUCCCGGGCCUU
rnacentral:rRNA from 1 species